GGUUACAGAUCUCUUGUCCCAAGCUGCUUUCAGGAUUUUCUCUUUGUCUCGGAGACUCGUCGACCCACAUCAAGACCCACUCGUGGGACAGUGCCAAGGUGCCGCUGAUGGAGAACAAGUGUGACAAAGAGUGGGUGGUGUCCGUAGCCAUGCAACAGGCAGCCGGCUGACCACCUCACUAUGGGACUCCUGACCUCCUUCAAGAUGCUGCUACUUCCACCAUGCUGUUCUCCAGAUGUGUCUUCACCCCAUCAAUGUUUGGCAGAAAAAAGAAAAAGGAAAACAGGAAAAAAUGAAGACCACAUUUUGAGUGAGCACACCCUGUUAGAGAAAAAUAAAUAAAUGAGAUUCCCUUGAAGAACAUUUGGUUCUCCGCUGAGGAGUUUCUCUUUAAUGGAAACUUCAUUUUUAGUUUUAACAUCAAAACUUUACAUCAGCUGACAAAACACAGAAAGAAAAGGAAAGAAAUCUUUGUUACAUUUGUUUUGGCCUUUCUCUACUUGUUAAACAAUGGUUACCCUCAGUAUAUCAUGGGAAUGAGGAACAGUAUUCUCUCAUUUAUAAUAUUGCCUCUGGGAGGCAGCAUGGUGUAUGGGAAAAAAUAGAACUUUGAAAUGAGAAGUGAAUUCAAACGGAGUUUUCCCUCAAUUAUAUAUUUUUUAUAUAACAUAAUUAUAUAGUUCCCUCAAUUAUAUAUUUCGGUCAUAGUCUAUCAUUUUUCUGGGCUUUAGGCCUCUCAUUUGUUAAAUGGGCAUAC